AUUGAACGCUGGCGGCAGGCCUAACACAUGCAAGUCGAGCGAGCGGCGGACGGGUGAGGAAUGUCUGGGAAACUGCCUGAUGGAGGGGGAUAACUACUGGAAACGGUAGCUAAUACCGCAUACCAUCAGAUGUGCCCAGAUGGGAUUAGCUAGUAGGUGGGGUAACGGAUCACCUAGGCGACGAUCCCUAGCUGGUCUGAGAGGAUGACCAGCCACACUGAAACUGAGACACGGUCCAGACUCCUACGGGAGGCAGCAGUGGGGAAUAUUGAACAAUGGGCGCAAGCCUGAGGCAGGCAUGCCGCGAGCGUGAAGAAGGCCUUCGGGUUGUAAAGCACUUUCAGCGGGGAGGCGUUACCCGCAGAAGAAGCACCGACUAACUCCGUGCCAGCGACCGCGGUAAUUC
rnacentral:rRNA from 1 species